rnacentral:rRNA from 1 species
AGGACGAACGCUGGCGGCGUGCCUAAUACAUGCAAGUCGAACGGUCUUUCUAUGGAAGCUUGCUUCCACUGAAAGAUAGUGGCGAACGGGUGAGUAACACGUGGGUAACCUGCCCAUAAGAGGGGGGAUAACAAUCCGGAAACGGGUGCUAAUACCGCAUAGUUUUCUUGAUCGCAUGAUCGGGAAAGGGAAAGACGGCCUUUGUGCUGUCGCUUAUGGAUGGACCCGCGGCGUAUUAGUUAGUUGGUGAGGUAACGGCUCACCAAGACGAUGAUACGUAGCCGACCUGAGAGGGUGAUCGGCCACAUUGGGACUGAGACACGGCCCAAACUCCUACGGGAGGCAGCAGUAGGGAAUCUUCCGCAAUGGACGAAAGUCUGACGGAGCAACGCCGCGUGAGUGAAGAAAGGUUUUCGGAUCGUAAAACUCUGUUGUCAGAGAAGAACAAGUUGGAGAGUAACUGCUCCAGCCUUGACGGUAUCUGACCAGAAAGCCACGGCUAACUACGUGCCAGCCGCUGC